AAAACGCUGGAUCUCGUCAGGGGCGGAAACGUCGCUGGCGGGGCACAUCCGCCGUCCUUUGUAUAAUUUACCUUUGUUGCUUUGGCAGGUCGCCCUUGGGCCAGCGGCUUCGGCUGUUGCGCGCCUGCCAGAGAACCACAACUCUUGAUUUUAGUGAUGUCUGAGUACUAUAUAAUAGUUA
rnacentral:misc_RNA from 1 species